rnacentral:lncRNA from 1 species
CUGCAAGACCAGGUCUGGCUUGAUAGUCUUGAGAGUGAAGAAGCAGGUUUCGAUUUCUAAUAAAACAGAAAUCGCAAACUACCAUCUCUAUGGCUACUUUAGCCUCUUUGCGAGAUCGAGAAGUUGUGCGAAACAUAGCGCAUUUACCAAUCGUCCCGGGCCUUCCAUUGUUUCCGACUGGGCUGAUCAGGCUACCGUCGGCGAUUUUCACUUGUAAAUUAAGCAACGGGCAUGAAAAAGACAUAGUAACAAGCAAGACGAAGUGAAUAAAAUGGCUCAUCAGUUUUUGUUAGUGAAAUCACAAAAUCAAAAUAACUUAGGACCAUUUCAAAUUCCAGUCAUCUCACUAGCGAAUCUGCCAGUGAAGUGACAAGAUAAAGUUUUUUAUAUUAAGAAAAAUUACCCGGCAAAGAAAAGAAUAAAUUAGUGGCAAGAAAUUCAGUGCAACUUUCGUAUGAAUUUCCUCUCAGUUCAACCAUAUCGCUCUCAAAACAAGGUUGACGAGAGUGUUAAAUUACUCUCUCCAUCCCAAAUUAGAUGAGCUUGACUUUGGGCACGUAACUUAAGGUGCAUUGACCGUAUAGUUCCGAAAUUUAUUUUUCUAAUUUUCUUUUGUAAAUUAAAAUUUCAUAUUUAAAUUUUUAUUUUAAAAAAUAAAAUUUCAAAAAUAAGUAAUGUAUCUAUACGAUCAAUGGACUUUAAAGCGCGUGCGGCGUGCCCGAAAUCAACGAGCUCAUCUAAUUUGGGAUUAAUUUGGGAUGAAGGGAGGACUGAAGAAAAGUCUUCCUAUUAGGGAUCGGCAUUCACCCCGCCCCGCUCGACCCCGAUCCGAUCCCCGCCCCGUUCGGGUCGGGGAUUCGGGGAAUUUUUCGGGGGCGGGGCGGGGAUCGGGGAAAGUUCUAUAAAAAAUUCGGGGAUCGGGGCGGGGUCGGGGAUUGGUGUCUCCCCGCCCCGAUCCCCGACCCCGAUUAUAUAUAUAUAUAUAUAAUGGACCCUGUGCAGGAGCAUGUUGGCCCAUUCAUAGGCCCUAAAUUGAUUUGCGAAGAAACUGAACUGUAAGUCUGCAAGUGAAAAAGUUUACCUUCCAAAGCUGCAAGACCAGGUCUGGCUUGAUAGUCUUGAGAGUGAAGAAGCAGGUUUCGAUUUCUAAUAAAACAGAAAUCGCAAACUACCAUCUCUAUGGCUACUUUAGCCUCUUUGCGAGAUCGAGAAGUUGUGCGAAACAUAGCGCAUUUACCAAUCGUCCCGGGCCUUCCAUUGUUUCCGACUGGGCUGAUCAGGCUACCGUCGGCGAUUUUCACUUGUAAAUUAAGCAACGGGCAUGAAAAAGACAUAGUAACAAGCAAGACGA